rnacentral:rRNA from 1 species
GACGAACGCUGGCGGCGUGCUUAACACAUGCAAGUCGAACGAAGUGGCGAACGGGUGAGUAACGCGUAAUCAACCUGCCCUUCAGAGGGGGACAACAGUUGGAAACGACUGCUAAUACCGCAUACUGAAGGAGGGGAUUGCGUCUGAUUGGCUGGUUGGGGGGGUAACGGCCCACCAAGGCGAUGAUCAGUAGGCGGUCUGAGAGGAUGAACGGCCACAAUGGGACUGAGAAACGGCCCAGGAGUCUAAGGGAGGCAGCAGGGGGGAAACUUCGGAAAUGGACGAAAGGCUGACGGAGCAACGCCGGGUGAGUGAUGACGGCCGUCGGGGUGGAAAGCUCUGUUAAUCGGGACGCGGUACCGGAAUAGAAAGCCACGGCUAACUACGUGCCAGCAGCCGCGGUAAUAC